AUUUGACUGGCUGGAGUUCUUAAGAAGUGAAGACUAAAAAAGGCAUAAGGAUCAGUUCAGGAGCACAGCUUGGACUCAUAUGGAAUACUAAAGCUGUUCAGCUUCAAGGGAGGUCUGACUAUAAGGGCUACACAAUCAAACUAAUAUUUUGUGAAUGGCCUCCUGCCAAAAGUGACUUCAGCUGAUGACCAAUGGUCUACCUUGUAGUCUUUGGUGACAAAGAUUCUUCGUUUCAGCACAAGAAAUCAUCGCUUCAACUGGUCAAUUGAUGGCCGUAGGAUAGACCAGCCCUGCAAGCUUGAUCCAGCUGAGAGGCAGUGACUGGCCGAGGAUCACCCAGUGAGUUUCAGGAAUGAAUGGAAGCCAGGUUCUAUUUACCACACCACGCCAGCUCUCCAUUACUUCUUCAAGAGUCCAUACAACAGCCAUACAAGGACAAACCCAGAAUACUUCCCAUGACUAGCGCUGAUGUUAAAAUUAAUCAAGAGGAUACAUUCUUCUCUCACACACAGAGCAGUGGGAAACCAUUCUGCCAAGUUGGGCUUGAGUGUGCCCUGUGAGGUCAAAGAAGGAGAUUCUGAACCACUUGGAUGGGCCUUUGGAUCUCACACAAGUAGAGAUGUCAUUGCAAUAGAUCUUCCUCUAUCUCAGAAUGUGGACCUUGGCUGCUCGCCCUGCUCACCUUUAAAUGAAAGGCAAUACAUCUCCAGAAUUAUCCUUGGACUCAUACUGUAAUCUCAACCAGAGGAGAACUCUCUCCCCUCUCCUAUCCCACCCCACCCCACCUACCUACCUACCAUUAUCUAGCUGCUACAGCUUCAGAAAUAGGUAGAAACCACUCUUGCUCCUCUGGUAUAUAUAGUAGGACUAAUAUCCCAGGUUGUCUAGCAUGUGGGACAUUGUCAUAGCAACGUUACGUAUGCACUAAGGAUGGAAAGGAUGGAGAACUCAAUCUGACAUUGUCACAGUCACACUGGCCAAGAAAGAGUAAGGGAUGAAGGAUGGGGGCCUUAUGGGUGGGUCAAAGGAGGAAUGGGGGCUUACAGGGAAACUGGAGGAAGGAUUUGGAUCCUUUCACACUACUGAUUGGGAGCGCAAGGGAACCUGCAGGGGUUUGUAAUUGGGCUUAGAUAUAAAUGCACUAUUUUACUGCAGGAAACUCCUGCUAAGUGGGCAAAGAGGUCCACUUGAAAAGCAGAAUAAAAAUAUAUUUAAUAAUAAUAAAAUGCUGUAUUGGGCAGACUUCCUGUAGAUAUAAUGAAUGUUAGAUAUAAU